UGGGAAUCUACCCUUUAGUGAAGAAUAUUCCCGAGAAAUCGGGAGCAAUCCUGCAUACGUCCCUACAGGGAGAAAGGUGGCCUCUUUGCUGCCGCUAAAGGAUGAGCCUGCGUGCUAUCAGCUAGUUGGUGAGGUAAUGGCUCACCAAGGCUAUGACGGCUAACCGGCCUUAGAGGGUGUACGGUCACACUGGAACUGCGACACGGUCCAGACUCCUACGGGAGCAG
rnacentral:rRNA from 1 species